rnacentral:rRNA from 1 species
UACGUAGGGUGCAAGCGUUAAUCGGAAUUACUGGGCGUAAAGCGUGCGCAGGCGGUGAUGUAAGACAGAUGUGAAAUCCCCGGGCUCAACCUGGGAACUGCAUUUGUGACCGCAUCGCUGGAGUACGGCAGAGGGGGAUGGAAUUCCGCGUGUAGCAGUGAAAUGCGUAGAUAUUGGUAGGAACACCAGUGGCGAAGGCGGUCUUCUGGAGCACUCUUGACGCUGAGGCGCGAAAGCUGGGGGAGCGAACGGG